GGAUCCAGCUUUUCAUUUCUGAUCCACUGUAAGUUAUGGAAUCUGGCUAAUAGAAACAAAUCUGGAUGAGCUGGUUUACAGAACAAUAAACACAGCACUUUUAGCAGAUGUGUGGAAGCUGGAGUUGAUGGCUUCUGGCACAUCAGGAUCUGACUUAGGCAGACCCUGAGCGAGGCAGUGCCAUGUGGACACGAGGAAGGAACUAGAGAGCGCUCCUGAAAACUACCUCCUGGAAUGUAAAAAUUCUGAUCUUUGGGAAAGUAAAGGAACUGCUGUGCGAGAUGAAAAAUGUCAAUAUAUUUGGAGGACAGACUACUUCAGACUGGUUGUGAACAACUCCAGAGACAUGUUUUGGUGAACUUCUGCUCCAAGACCUCUAAGGCUGGCAGUACUUCUCUCCAGAUGUACCAUUUGGCACAAUAAACAGUUCUUUUCUUAGAAGGGGAACCUAUGGUUUUGCCAUGUAAUGCAAAACACCAAUGGAAUCACUACAUAAGCAAAAUGCCAGUAAUGGUACAGUGGUCCAGCCACAA